UAGGGAAUCUUCGGCAAUGGACGAAAGUCUGACCGAGCAACGCCGCGUGAGUGAAGAAGGUUUUCGGAUCGUAAAACUCUGUUGUUAGAGAAGAACAAGGACGUUAGUAACUGAACGUCCCCUGACGGUAUCUAACCAGAAAGCCACGGCUAACUACGUGCCAGCAGCCGCGGUAAUACGUAGGUGGCAAGCGUUGUCCGGAUUUAUUGGGCGUAAAGCGAGCGCAGGCGGUUUCUUAAGUCUGAUGUGAAAGCCCCCGGCUCAACCGGGGAGGGUCAUUGGAAACUGGGAGACUUGAGUGCAGAAGAGGAGAGUGGAAUUCCAUGUGUAGCGGUGAAAUGCGUAGAUAUAAGGAGGAACACCAGUGGCGAAGGCGGCUCUCUGGUCUGUAACUGACGCUGAGGCUCGAAAGCGUGGGGAGCAAACAGG
rnacentral:rRNA from 1 species